rnacentral:SRP_RNA from 1 species
GCUGGGUGUGGUGUUGUGUGCCUGUAGUCCCAGCUACUUGGGAGACUGAGGCUGGAGGAUCUCUUGAGUACAGGAGUUCUGGGCUGUGUAGUGCGCUAUGCCGAUCGGGUGUCUGCACUAAGUUCAGCAUCAAUAUGGUGACCUCCCGGGAGCCGGGGACCACCAGGUCGCCUAAGGAGGGGUGAACCUGCCUAGCUCGGAAACGGAGCAGGUUAGAACUCCCGUGCUGAUGAGUAGUGGGAUCGCGCCUGUGAAUAGCCACUGCACUCCAGCCUGGGCAACAUAGCGAGACCCCAUCUCU